GUGAACGCUGGCGGUAGGCCUAACACAUGCAAGUCGAACGGCAGCACAGUAAGAGCUUGCUCUUACGGGUGGCGAGUGGCGGACGGGUGAGGAAUACAUCGGAAUCUACUUUUUCGUGGGGGAUAACGUAGGGAAACUUACGCUAAUACCGCAUACGACCUACGGGUGAAAGCAGGGGAUCUUCGGACCUUGCGCGAUUGAAUGAGCCGAUGUCGGAUUAGCUAGUUGGCGGGGUAAAGGCCCACCAAGGCGACGAUCCGUAGCUGGUCUGAGAGUAUGAUCAGCCACACUGGAACUGAGACACGGUCCAGACUCCUACGGGAGGCAGCAGUGGGGAAUAUUGGACAAUGGGCGCAAGCCUGAUCCAGCCAUACCGCGUGGGUGAAGAAGGCCUUCGGGUUGUAAAGCCCUUUUGUUGGGAAAGAAAAGCAGCAGGUUAAUACCCCGCUGUUCUGACGGUACCCAAAGAAUAAGCACCGGCUAACUUCGUG
rnacentral:rRNA from 1 species